rnacentral:rRNA from 1 species
UGGGGAAUCUUGCACAAUGGAGGAAACUCUGAUGCAGCGAUGCCGCGUGAGUGAAGAAGGCCUUUGGGUUGUAAAGCUCUUUUGUAGGGGAAGAUAAUGACUGUACCCUAAGAAUAAGGUCCGGCUAACUUCGUGCCAGCAGCCGCGGUAAUACGAAGGGACCUAGCGUAGUUCGGAAUUACUGGGCGUAAAGCGCGCGUAGGCCGUUGAGUUAGUUAAUUGUGAAAUCCCAAAGCUUAACUUUGGAACUGCAAUUAAAACUGCUCGACUAGAGUUUGAUAGAGGAAAGCGGAAUACAUAGUGUAGAGGUGAAAUUCGUAGAUAUUAUGUAGAACACCAGUUGCGAAGGCGGCUUUCUGGAUCAACACUGACGCUGAGGCGCGAAAGUAUGGGUAGCAAAGAGGAUUAGAUACCCUCGUAGUCCAUACCAUAAACGAUGAUUGCUAGAUGUUGGAAAUUUAUUUUCAGUAUCGCAGCUAACGCAUUAAGCAAUCCGCCUGAGGAGUACGACCGCAAGGUUA